rnacentral:rRNA from 1 species
GAUGAACGCUGGCGGCGUGCCUAAUACAUGCAAGUCGAGCGAACAGAUGAGGAGCUUGCUCCUCUGACGUUAGCGGCGGACGGGUGAGUAACACGUGGAUAACCUACCUAUAAGACUGGGAUAACUUCGGGAAACCGGAGCUAAUACCGGAUAAUAUAUUGAACCGCAUGGUUCAAUAGUGAAAGACGGUUUUGCUGUCACUUAUAGAUGGAUCCGAGCCGCAUUAGCUAGUUGGGAAGGUAACGGCUUACCAAGGCAACGAUGCGUAGCCGACCUGAGAGGGUGAUCGGCCACACUGGAACGGAAACGCGGUCCUGACUCCUACGGGAGGCAGCAGUAGGGAAUCUGCCGCAAUGGGCGAAAGCCUGACGGAGCAACGCCGCGUGAGUGAUGAAGGUCCUCGGAUCGUAAAACUCUGUUAUUAGGUAAGAACAAAUUUGUAAGUAACUAUGCACGUCUUGACGGUACCUAAUCAGAAAGCCACGGCUAACUACGUG